UACAUGUGGGGCAAGCGUUGUUCGGAAUUACUGGGCAUAAAGGGUGCGUAGGCGGCUUGUUAAGUCAGGGGUGAAAGUUUUCGGCCCAACCGGAAAAUUGCCUUUGAUACUGGCGAGCUGGAGUGCGUGAGGGGUGACCGGAACGAGUGGUGUAGCGGUGAAAUGCGUAGAUAUCAGGAGGAAUACCGGUGGUGAAGGCGGCUUUCUGGACUGCUGCUGACGCUGAUACACGAAAGCGUGGGGAGCAAACAGG
rnacentral:rRNA from 1 species